CUCUGAGUGGUGGAAACAGUUAAUGCAUUUGGCUGCUAACCAAAAGGUUGGAGGUUUGAGUCCACCUUGGAAGA
rfam:Loxodonta africana unplaced genomic scaffold scaffold_20, whole genome shotgun sequence.